rnacentral:snRNA from 1 species
CUAUAUCUUAGAACAAUGAA